UCCCUGGUGGCUCAGAUGGUAAAGCGCCUGCCUGCAAUGCGGGAGACCCGGGUUUGAUUCCUGGGUCGAGAA
rfam:TPA: Bos taurus chromosome 3, whole genome shotgun sequence.